UUGGACUAGAUGACGAUGUGACUUUUUGAGGGUGAAGGGGUUCAAGUGGUUUUCAUUUUGGAUCGUUGAGCUGAGAAAAUGCAGUCAGGAAAAAUGUGAGGAAUUUGCUCCGUCAUGUCAGGGGAGGUGUUCGACAAACCUCCAGCCCCACGUGCAACCGUGAAAAAAUAGGACACGAAACUGUCUUUGGGCACUUCCACUGUCAGAUGACCUGGAGGGGGUAUGGAGACGGAUACGUGCAUGUUGAGUCACGGGACUCAUCUCCUAAUAUGGCCGCCCACUUUACAUGACACGGCAGAGCCAGGAAGGAAGAGGAAGUUCAAAGGUCAGCACUUCAUCGGAGAGGUCACGUCAGAGCGAAGGUGGAAAAAAACACGAUGUGUCGGAGCGGAGGGAGGCAGAGAGAAGGAGGAAGAAUGAACGUCACCACACAGAAGAUCUCCUGACCAUCCUCCACCAGGAUGCUUGGGAAGUUGGAAACACAUGUAAGGCAUUGACGCUGCACAACGACCCACACAGACAGCAGUUUUUUGCCCCUGGAGAGGCGCCAAGUCAAGAUGUUGUUUGUCACCAGAGUGCAGUAAACCGUCCUCCACACUGAAUCCUCUGACCUCUGGGGAAUGGGCAGCUCGUGAAUAACUUUACAGCCUCCUGCUCGCACAGAACUUCCCUCCGACUGGAGCCGAGUCUAGUCGUCCUUUAGGGCUGAGAGAGAAAAGGAGGAAUGAGGCCAUGAUAAUGCUGAUUGCUUUUGACACAGGCACUGAAAGUGAUUAUAGAUCCACAGUGCUGCGUGUAACACUGUACCCAGUGAGUGAGAAGAAUUUGGCAAGGCUUCAGUGAAUCCACUCCAAACCAGAGCUUAAAAAAGACCCCAAACUAGUUUGAAGUAGUAUGAAAACAAAUAAAUUCACCUUUAAGGUUUUAAAAAGGUUGAAUGCAAAAUAAAUAAAUAAAAUAAGAUAGUUUGCUUGUGACUCUCUCGGAACCACACCAAUUUCAAUAAUUGUGUUUUGCGUAAUGAAAGCUCAAAUGAUCGGUAAUUAGUAUCACUUUAAGUUUUUAUGGCAGCCUCUCAAAAUAAAGGUUCCUCAUAUUGCCUAAAGAAAGAGCGAACGUGCAAACAUGAACGGGAACACACACACACACACACACACACACACACACACACUGAAGCUUGGGGAAUUUCUUCAAUAGCAGUCGGGCCAAAGCUCUCAUGGGUGGUCCACGCUUGUCAUUAUAUCCCUGCAGGCAAGGAGGCAAGCACAAAGCACCAUGGGAAACACAAGCCUCCCUGAUGGCAGAGCACUAGAGGUGCUGUCGGUGUGGCGGGAGACAAGUCAUGAACUCUGAGCGAAACACAAAUCAUUUGGAGAUGGGGUGUUUUAAAGGCCUGCAGCGGAGGAGAGGAAGCUCCACGGUGAAAAUAUAUUGAAGAGAAUAAAUCCUGUGUCAACAAAGAGGAAGUCCCGGCUUGUUUGUUUUUCCUCCGACCUGGUCUGAAUCGCAACCAGCCUAAUCUCCGCGUAAUAAAUAUUGUGUUACUGCGGUGAGCUGCUGUCAUGUCGACAUCAAUCUGAAAUCGGUGCAUUUGAUUUGGUGCGUUGGGCUACCUAUGUACUACUUACGCUCAGAUCCAAACCACAGGCCUGAGCAAACACACUGAGCAAACAUGCAGGGCUGUUGUCAGGAGAAUGAGGCUUGUUUAUGCUUCAAAAGCACAGAGAGCAGGGUGUAGAGAUGAAUGCUCCUGAAUGGAGAUGAAUGGGACAAGAAACAUAAACAGCUGUUAUCUGGCCGUCCUCUCCCCCCUACUCUGACCUUUUCUUGUCUUCCUGCGCUCGCUCACUUGGCUGCCUCUGCUCCCCUGGUGAACCCGGCUCUCCCUGUGGCCACUGUACACCUUGUUUAGUCAACAGAUAAUACUAAGAAUCGACACUCUGACACAAAGCACAGAUUUUAUCUCUGCCCGCAUUUCUUUUUUCUCAGGGUGGAUAUUACUGACACUCCCGCGUCCCUGGUAUUUGUCUGACAAACCUGUGACUCAUGUGCACCAGCCAUAACUGGAACAGAGACUGAGUAUUGACUGUCUGUGCACGGAGUCGAUUAAUUUGACAGCAUGUGUUUUUCAAAUUGUCUCUGUAUAUUUGUCCUUGCAGAAUAUAGAUCCACAAAAGUAUAGAUAAAGAGCCAUACAUUCAAUCUGUGUCACAGGGUACGUCAGCAAACAGAGUCACUCGCAUCUCCGACUGUUACACAUUACACAAAAGCCAUUACUGUGUUUACCUAUUGACUGUUCACACAAACUUGAGAGGAAGUGAAAAUGUCAUAGGAAGCGGCGGGCAGGUGAAUCACUGAUUACAGCUGAGAGUGGAUGAGCUGCUAGCAUGCAAGGCCAACAGCUGUGGAGCCUCAGGGGAGUCACAGUAAGAAGGUCACAGAAUCCGCAGACAAGCAACACACCAACUAAUCAGGUCAGUUUAGAAACUAAAGGACACAUGUUUUGGAAAAUGCUCUCCAAUAG